rnacentral:tRNA from 1 species
GGCGUCAUACUUUAAUUAAAAGGUUAAGUUUGCGUCUUAAAAUUGGGAUCUUUCCCUUUCGCCA